rnacentral:rRNA from 1 species
UGAGGAAUAUUGGUCAAUGGACGAGAGUCUGAACCAGCCAUGCCGCGUGAAGGAUGAAGGCGUUCUGCGUUGUAAACUUCUUUUGCGGGGGAAGAAACCUUGAUAUUCUUAUCAAGCCGACGGUACCCCGAGAGUAAGCACCGGCUAACUCCGUGCCAGCAGCCGCGGUAAUACGGAGGGUGCAAGCGUUAUCCGGAUUUACUGGGUUUAAAGGGUGCGUAGGUGGAUUUGUAAGUCAGUGGUGAAAUCUCCGAGCUUAACUCGGAAACUGCCAUUGAUACUAUAAGUCUUGAAUUAUCUGGAGGUAAGCGGAAUAUGUCAUGUAGCGGUGAAAUGCGUAGAUAUUAGGAGGAACACCAGUGGCGAAGGCGGCUUUCUGGACUGUAACUGACACUGAGGCACGAAAGCGUGGGGAGCAAACA